UACGGAGGGUGCAAGCGUUAAUCGGAAUUACUGGGCGUAAAGCGCGCGUAGGCGGCUGAUUAAGUCGGAUGUGAAAGCCCCGGGCUCAACCUGGGAACUGCAUACGAUACUGAUCAGCUAGAGUAUGAGAGAGGGAGGUAGAAUUCCACGUGUAGCGGUGAAAUGCGUAGAUAUGUGGAGGAAUACCGGUGGCGAAGGCG
rnacentral:rRNA from 1 species